UACGUAGGCAGCGAGCGUUGUUCGGAGUUACUGGGCGUAAAGCGUGCGUAGGCGGUGGCCUAAGUCUGUUGUGAAAUCUCCCGGCUUAACCGGGAGGGUGCGGCGGAAACUGGGUUGCUGGAGUGCGGGAGAGGUAAGCGGAAUUCCCGGUGUAGCGGUGAAAUGCGCAGAUAUCGGGAGGAACACCAGCGGCGAAGGCGGCUCACUGGCCCGAUACUGACGCUGAGGCACGAAAGCGUGGGGAGCAAACAGG
rnacentral:rRNA from 1 species